GCUGGGGAUGUUGUCAUGACUCGCUUGGAGAAGGCCGAGGGGCUCAACGUGACUGCGAAAUGCUUGGGCGUCUAUUUAUAUACAGUUUCAGAGAGAAAGGAGGUCACGGAUAUAGUGGUCUAAAUUCAUCAGGGCAUCCUGGUUUUGGGAAAGGAAUAAUGGUAACUUGUUUCUUGGCAAUAGACAAGAUGCUUGUAGAAGAGAUCGAGUUGGAAAGCCCAAUAAGACGAUGAUGUUACAAGUGAUUCCAUCUUUCCCAGGUGCAGUUGAUUUGCUAGUCGUAAUGGCUGCAAGAAGUUCAUGGCUUGUGAAUGGUGUACCAGUUCAUCCAAAAUUUGGCACUGACAGUUAAUUUCAUUUUUGUGUUUUAACUUAAAGGAGCGCCUGCGUAUGGGUAAUGGAAGAUUAUCGAGAGAGGGUGGAGAGUUACAGUGUAUGCAUUGGCCUUAAUCCUGUUUUUUUCUCUCCACACAUUACUCAUGGGAUUCUUGGAGUCAAUUGCUUCUGCCCAGGCAUACAUUCCCUCUUCCCGUUUAUGAAUUAUUUCCUCAUUAAACUUUUUACUAAAGAAUACAAGAUCCCUAGCUACGCAGGGGUUUGCUGUAGGCCUUAUGAGUGUUAUAAGUACUCUUAUUUCGGGAUCUUUGUUCAGGGGAUAUGCUCGUUUGCCUCUGGAGGAUGGAGAGCUAUCCUUGACAGGGUUUCUGGGGUGGAGGUGGUUAUUGAUAUUACCAACUUGUUGACAGAGAGUAAAGUCUUCAUACCAGCAGCCAAUCCUUUUAAUAAACUCAUCAUGAUGUUUAGUAGCAAGAUGAUAUCAAGGCAUGACUGGGGUGUGCUUCUUUUAAAAAAAAUGGGAGGGCUAUACUUAAUGACCAAUGAUCACUGACUAAGAGUGGGAUGACUCGCAGUGCUUAGGAGUGUGUGCUGAUUGUACUGAGAUACAUAAUCUAAUUUGCUACCUAGGUGAUGAAUCUUUUCUGAGGGGCAUACUAAGUGUAUGGGGUCACUAAUGUUUUGGAGACAGUCAUAAUAAACCUUACCAUUUU